GCAUAUCAAUAAGCGGAGGAAAAGAAACUAACAAGGAUUCCCCUAGUAGCGGCGAGCGAAGCGGGAAGAGCUCAAAUUUAUAAUCUGGCACCUUCGGUGUCCGAGUUGUAAUCUCUAGAAGUGUUUUCCGCGUUGGACCGCACACAAGUCUGUUGGAAUACAGCGGCAUAGUGGUGAUACCCCAUUACACGGUGCGGACGCCCAGCGCUUUGUGAUACACUUUCGACGAGUCGAGUUGUUUGGGAAUGCAGCUCAAAUUGGGUGGUAAAUUCCAUCUAAAGCUAAAUAUUGGCGAGAGACCGAUAGCGAACAAGUACCGUGAGGGAAAGAUGAAAAGCACUUUGGAAAGAGAGUUAAAAGUACGUGAAAUUGUUGGAAGGGAAACGCUUGAAGUCAGACUUGCUUGCCGGGCUUGCUCGGUUUGCAGGCCAGCAUCAGUUUUCCGGGGCGGAUAAUGGCAGUUAGAAUGUAGCAGUCUCGGCUGUGUUAUAGCUUUCUGCUGGAUACGUCCUGGGGGACUGAGGAACGCAGCGUGCCGUAUGGCGAGGGCUUCGGUCCUUUCACGCUUAGGAUGCUGGUGGAAUGGCUUUAAACGACCCGUCUUGAAACACGGACCAAGGAGUCUAACAUGCUUGCGAGUAUUUGGGUGUCAAACCCGGAUGCGUAAUGAAAGUGAAUGGAGGUGGGAAGCGCAAGCUGCACCAUCGACCGAUCUGGAUUUUCUAAGAUGGAUUUGAGUAAGAGCACGUAUGUUGGGACCCGAAAGAUGGUGAACUAUGCCUGAAUAGGGCGAAGCCAGAGGAAACUCUGGUGGAGGCUCGUAGCGGUUCUGACGUGCAAAUCGAUCGUCAAAUUUGGGUAUAGGGGCGAAAGACUAAUCGAACCAUCUAGUAGCUGGUUCCUGCCGAAG
rnacentral:rRNA from 1 species